rnacentral:rRNA from 1 species
UGGGGAAUAUUGGACAAUGGGCGAAAGCCUGAUCCAGCCAUGCCGCGUGUGUGAAGAAGGCCCUCGGGUUGUAAAGCACUUUCAGUGGGGAAGAAAGCCUCGGGAUUAAUACUUCCGAGGAAGGACAUCACCCACAGAAGAAGCACCGGCUAACUCCGUGCCAGCAGCCGCGGUAAUACGGAGGGUGCGAGCGUUAAUCGGAAUUACUGGGCGUAAAGCGCGCGUAGGCGGUCUGAUCAGCCGGUUGUGAAAGCCCCGGGCUCAACCUGGGAACGGCAUCCGGAACUGUCAGGCUAGAGUGCAGGAGAGGAAGGUAGAAUUCCCGGUGUAGCGGUGAAAUGCGUAGAGAUCGGGAGGAAUACCAGUGGCGAAGGCGGCCUUCUGGACUGACACUGACGCUGAGGUGCGAAAGCGUGGGUAGCAAACA